AAUAUAAUAUAAAUCUCUGGCAAGAGAUUUAGCUGGUUAUUUAUAAUGAUUCAUUGGGGAGACUAGGCAUGUAAAUCUGGGAGAUUUCAACAUGCUCAUCUCACAAUAGAAUCAUGGGGGAUUGUGUAGAUAGAAACCACUCCCUAAAUUUGUCUUACCCGCAUCCCACUUUUUGUGUGUACUUUGUGUGAUGGAGGAGGGGGACAAGAGUAAAAAGGUGUGGUGUGUGAGGGAAGCUCUCUCUCUCUCUCUCUCUCUCUCUUUCUCUUUCUCGGUCUCUCUCUGUCUCUUUCUUUCUCUCUCAUAGUUGGUGUGGCAGUGGAAGAUGGUCUUGAGCAGGAACUCUGGUGACUGCUGUGCACUCGAGGGCUUGUGUGGGGUUUGGCAGCUUCAGAUUUGGGCUUCCUGACUCAAUUCAGGGUAUUAUUUUAGAUAGAUGAUAUUUUCUGUUCCUUUCCUACAUUUCCCUUUUUUUCUAUAUCUCCAUUUUUAUUAAAAACUUAAUUGUUGGGGGCAGCUGGGUAGCUCAGUGGAUUGAGAGCUAGGCCUAGAGAUGGGAGGUCCUAGGUUCAAAUCUGGCCUCAGCCACUUCCCAGCUGUGUGACCCUGGGCAAGUCACUUGACCCCCAUUGCCUAGCCCUUACCACUCUUCUGCCUUGGAGCCAAUACACAGUAUUGACUCCAAGAUGGAAGGUAAGGGUUUAAAAAAAAUAAAAAAACUUAAUUGUUAAGAGCUACUAACAGACUCCUCAGACUCCUGGCUUGAGAGUUAGUUUUAUAAAUGGCAACCACAAUUCUUUUUUAAUUAAUAUUACAUUUAAUAUACCUUUAUUUAUUACACCCUGUAAGUUCUUAAUGGCAUUUCUUCAUGCUAUGAUGAUAAUUGAAGAGUGAAAGGCCUUCCUUGGAUGCCAAAUUACCCCGCUGACUAAGUUUCAUACCAGUUCUGGGGCAGACACUUAAAUACUUAUAUAUCUUCAACCUCAGCUAGGAACUUCUGUUGCUAGAUGUAUAAAUCGGUUCCUAGGGGACAGAAGAUCUGUUUUAGUUAGUAGAGGGGGAAAAUCAGAGCUGUAGCCUGUAAAAAAGUGGGAAAAGUCUAUAGAAUAAAGGUGAGAGAGGCAAUGUGGCAUAGUAGAUAGAAUGUUGGAGUCAGUAAGACCUGGGUUCAAAUCCCACCUUAAACACUUCAGUGCUUUAUGAUCCCAGGAAAGUCAUUUUAGCUUCUCUAGCCUCAGUCUCCUUGUUUGAAGGGAAAAAAUAGAGGGGGUGAACUUAAUGACCUCUACAAUCCGUUUAAGCUCUAAAUCUUUGAUCUUUUAAGGGCAGUGGCAAGCAAAUACUGCAUAGAAUCUGGCUCCUUUUGGAACAAUUGACUUUUUUUCUGUAUUGGCAUCUUGGAAGAUGGUACAAUAGUAUAGGGAAUGCACAGUAUGACAAUAUUCACCAAAGUCAGAGGUGGCCCAGGAAUGAGAGGAAGAAUGAAGUUACAUUGCAGAUAUGCCACCAGUGUUUUACAUUGAGGCAUUCCCUCCUGUGCUAGAGAUAUCUCCUUGCAGAGGAUUAUUAGAUAAAAGUUUCUGGAGUAAAUAUAUGUUAUAAUUAAAAUCAAUAUAUCUACCAGUUAUUAUUUUUCAUAAAGUUUAUUAAUAGAAACAGUAGAUAAGCAUGGAGUUAAAGUCUCUGCCUUACUCUAAGUUCUCAGACCACGUGUUGCCUAUUCUCCAUGAAUCUUUCUUUCUUCCUCACCUCUCCCUUCCAGCCAGCCAGCCAUGCCAAAAAACUCAGGUAUGCUCUACCCCCUUUCUUUUAUUGACAUUCAGGAUGUUCAGGACAAACUGUGGUAUUUGAGGAAUGUUGACAGACAGGUUCAACUACUCAGAAGGGGAAGGGGAUAAGAUCCCCUCCCAUAUACAAGAAAUGGUCUAGAUUCCAGCAUAAGUAGCAUGGUAUAUUGAGUAAGCUCAAAAUAAAGUGAGAAAUAUUAAACAUAUUGCCAGCAUUCUCAAAACACCACAGUAGGAGAUUAAGGGGUAUUAGUGGGAGUGGGGGGAAUAAGCAGGAGCUGUGUCACUGCUGGUAUGCUGAUUAGCAGGAACCCUUCUUCACAGUAUGUAAGCCCAGCAGGACAUGCGAUUGAUUUCUGAAGCAUAUAUCUUAGUCGAGAAAAGGUCUUCAGUUCAUCCUACAAACAUGAUCACAAGGCAGGUGAUAAAACAUGCAAAAUAACAUAAAAAGAGAAGAAACAUUAACCAAAGUGAAAUCUUACCUAGUGGUAUAGCUAUGAAGAGGUAAGAGUCAGGUGAGAUCAUACUUCAAAUCUAGGGUCUAGAGACUACUGCUAAAACUAUAGUGAAUAAUGUUAACCUACUCAGUAAAGAUAAAAGUCUUUAGCUCUCCCUAAACAUGUUUCCUCCAGUCAGUUUUUAGGACUGAGGCAUGGUUAUGUUAAAAUUAAUUGUGGUUGGACUCUGAAUAGAUAAUAUAUGUGGUCACCAGAGAUUUAAUUUCUAAAAUCCCAAAUAUGAAUUACUAAAAUAAAUGGAAUUUAUGGUAAUUUAUUUACAAUAUUUAUAAUAGUAGGAAGAUAUUAAGGAAUGAGUGAGAGAAAGAGAAGAGAAGAGAGAGAGAGAGAGAAAGAGAGAGAGAGAGAGAGAGAGAGAGAGAGAGAGAGAGAGAGAGAGAGAGAGAGAGAGAGAGCGAGAGAGCACUCUGGUUUCCUCUGAUACCUGGAGGCUUCAUGCCUCCAGAAAGGCAAGGUCACUAAGUCAACUUUUCACUCAGUAUAGGUGACAGUCUUUAAGAAGUCUGGGUGUCUUCCUUCUGGUCGCACUCAAGGGUCUGCCUUCCAGUUGCUCCUCUGAGUCAAUCUCCAAGUGUCCGUCUUCCCUUCAGCUCCAAGUGACUGAUCCUUCACUCCAAGCCCAGAUGACUGACUGUCCUCUUCCCAGUCUUUCCAAGAUCUUUUUCUCUCGUGUCACCUCCUCUAAAUUUUCACAUCUACCAAUCACAGCAGACCCUUUUCUCCACGACUGCCCAUUCUUUAGUUCUCACCUUCUUUGCUUAGAUUUUAUCUUUUUGGGUUACUUAAAUCCUCUUUUGUUAAUUUCAACUUUGCAGUUACUUAACACCUUUUUAUGGUUAAUUCACCUUUUGUAUUUACUUAACACCUUUUUGUAGUUAAAAUCUAAAAAUAGAUUGUAGCUUACAAUUUAAGCUUCACUAUAAAGAAAGAGCUAAGUAUCUUCAUUGUUACAAUCAGGAGAUGGCUAAAUCCAAUCUUCACAGUUAUAAGGGGAAGACAGACUAUAAGUACCAUUUGGGGGUUUCCUUUCUUUGGACAUGGGGAAGGAGGUGGUGCUGUUUUAUAGAGAAGGAGGCUGAGAUGCCAGUAUCCCAAGUUGGAAAACUUUUUUUGCAUUAUGAUUCAUGGAACUGCAUCUGAUGGUGUCAGCAAUGAACUGUGGCAUUGGUGUCCAAUGCCACAUGAUGUAGAAUAGAUCUUUUCGUCAAGGUUGGAUGACAUUUUUCUGCUAAUGGAUCUUUGCAUAGAUAUACCUGAUCUCUCAGAUGAAGGUUGUGAUAUGGUGCUUCUAUACAGAGUAAGAUCAUCAAUACCUGUUGAUGAAUAGAUCUAAUAUAUUUUAUUUGUACCUUAAAAUAAUUCAGCACAAUUUUUCUUUAUCAGCUGGAAAUAUGAGUGAUAUGAGACAUUCUGAGGGCUACCUGACAUUUGCAUAGGUCAUAUCAUGAGAAUCUCAGAUCUUAGGUUAGAGUUACAGUGUUUCUAAUCUACAUGAGUUAUGGGAUGAUCAGGCCACUUGAGGGCAGUUUCUGUGCAAAUUUUGGCUAAGCACAUUUUUGUGUCUUACAGCUCCACUGGACUGUAGGUAGACUCACAGAGUAGUUAUUGUAUAUUAAAUAUCUUAUAGAUAUUUUUAAUGAGCUGACCUGUGAAAUGUGUGCCACUAUUAUCAGAGUAAAUGGCGAUUCAGAUCUGAAAGUGACCCUUAAGGAAUUUCUUGGCAACAUUAGUAUGUGUCAGUAAUUAGAACAUUUUCAUAGGAACCACACAUGGAUAACUGAAUGAAAGUUGGAAAAGAAUCCUAAUAAUGUGGUAUGGGGAGCAGAUGUGGUUUUUUCCCCCAUUGCCUAUUUUGAGUCACCUAAAUCAUGCAGAAGGCCUGUUAUUACGAAGGAAGGAAAAUGUGGAGUGACCCUAUUUUUUGGUACUGCUGUAAUCAUUCCUCACCUCCCAUACUCUUGGUUUAAGUGAUCUACAGAACAGAUCUGAAGAGCAGAGAAGCUUUCUCUGUGCCACAAAGCUCCUGGGUGAAAAAUUCCAGAGUCUUUAUGCAUAGAACUGUCUGUUGGCACAUGUGCCACCAGUCAUCCUUUUGGGAUUUUUUGAUCCCUGGCUAGUGAUCUGUUGAUAGACAAGAGAACAGAGUUAGGAGAUUAAGUGCCAGAAAGGGCCACAUGCUCCAAAAGGGAACACUAAAAUGUUUCCUCUAGUGACAACAGCUUAAGGCGAUGGCAUCAGCUUUACAUUUUACAACAGCAAUAGGAGAGGCACCUCUCCUAUAAGACAUAUCUUACCGCAUAACAGUGAUUAUGGACAUGGGCACUAGAUAAAGUUGAGAACACUCUUUGUUUCCUUAUUUAGCUAAAAGAAUAUUUAGAAUAAAUGUUAAUGAUCACAAUCUUUUUUCCUUUUUUUAAGUUUUAAAAAUUAUAUAUAUAUAUUUAAAAAACUCAAAUACAUAUUAUACAUUGUAUCAAUCCACAUUUAUUUUAAACCAAAAAUAUUAGCAGUUAGGUUUAUUAUUUCUAUAAUGGGGGGGAGAUGUUUGCUGUGGUGGAAUAUUUUGGCUUUAUUCUACAGACAUAGGUAGUUGGAUGCCUGUCCAUAUAUACUCAUAAUGCUAGAAAAGCACUAAAUGCUUUGUGUACACUAUAAUAUACAGUUAACUGAAAGCAUUCAAUUUGGAUUGAUGGACACAUUGUAAAGUCAACAUUUCUGUAAUGAAGAUUCCAUUAGUAGACAUCAGUAGUUCUGCUUUAUGAAAAAUGUUUAGACUGGAAAAAGAAGUACAUAUGCCCUUCCUUCAGUUUUUCCAUUUGCUUCAAUAAACUAUUCAUAUUCAUAUGAAACAUUCAGUAAUCUAGAUGUCCUCACAUUUGUGCAUCAAAUACUGUGUAAAAGUGAACAUAAAUCUGGCACACACUCCCCCCUGCCCCAGCCCCCCAACCCAACUGGUACAUUUCACUUUUUUCCUUUUUUUUAAGAACUAUAAUUAGACAGUGGUUGAGGGGACAUGACAAAGGAGAGACUCUAAAUGAACACUCUAAUGCAAAUAUUAUCAACAUAGCAAUGGUUUCAAAUCAAGAAAACAUGCAAUGCCCAGUGGAUUUAUGCGUUGGCUAUGGGUGGUGGGGGGGAGGAAAAGAAAAUGAUCUAUGUCUUUAAUGAAUAAUGCUUGGAAAUGAUCAAAUAAAAUAUAAAAAAAAUUAAAAAAAAAUUAAAAAAAGAACUAUAAUUAGGCAAGAGGGAGUAUAGCAAGUUUUAUACUUUGACAGAGUAAUCAUACAUUCUAAUAAAGUGCUGGAUGUUGACAGGGUAGCCUAUAUCCAAUUGUCCUUGAGUAUCCCUUGAAGGCAGGAGAUGCCUGCCACAAAGAGGAGGAGGUCAGAAUCCUACAGAAGAUAAUCCUUCAAGUCAAGUCUGAGAGUAAAUAGUUGGGCAGUACUGAAAAUAGUUAUAUGGCUCACUAUCAGAAGGUAUAGUAGACAGAGAAUCAAGAUUAAGUUGAGGGCAAUAUGUCAGGGUGAUAUUAGCUGUUUAUAGCAAAAAGCUUUUAUAUUUACUCUGGACUCGGAAAUAUGCUGACCAUGCCUUUUUAGAAGAAGGAACAUGAAUAUAUGAGGGGUGGUUACCAAUCAACCAUCCUGACAACAGGGCAAUAGCUAGAACAGAUACGAGAUGUGGAGGUAAAGCAGAUGACACAGAGUCCUAGAUGGAGCUGUAAUAAUAAGCAGUGGGAUGAUGGGUUUUGCCAGAAUCAGGACCCCCAGGGCAAUAGUUUCCUCAUGACAAAAUAAGUGGAUACACAGGUAAUGGUAGAGCUGGUUUCAGUUCUCACUUUCUUUGAAGGUUUACAAGUGGUGUCAUGAUUGUUGUCCUGUAGAGAUUUAUCUAAGUUUGUUUAUCUAAAACUCACCAUCUACAGCAGCCAAUUACAUCUCCAAAUCCUUGUAUCUGUCUUUGGGGUAAAUUUUAAAGAUGGCUUGAACCAUGUCAGUGGAGAGCAGUUUUUCCUCAGCUAAAAUAUCCAAAGCUGCCUAUAGCUUACUUUUAGAGGUUUUAUGUCUUCCAACAACUAAGUCAUUGAGUAGGGUUAGGAUAUUUAUGUGCUUCAAGGGUCAAGAAUAGAGUUACCAUGUAGAGCAGUGGUUCUCAACCUUUCUAAUGCCGUGACUCCGCAAUACAGUUCCUCAUGUUGCAGUGAUCCCAAACCAAACAAUUAUUUUGGUGGCUACUUCAAAAUUGUAAUUUUGCUACAGUUAUGAUUUGGAACGUAAAUGCCUGAUAUGCAUUAUGUAUUCUCAUUGCUACAAAUCAAACAUAAUUUAAACAUAGUGAUUAAUCACAAAAACAAUAUUUAAUUAUAUGUUGAGAAAUAUUAAUCCAGCAGGAGGCAGCCUGAGCACUGGGAUGGGAGGUAAGUUCUGCCUGGGGAUAGGAUCCGCAGAUGCUGCCGCCUUCUUCCUGUCGUCUCCCUCCAGCUCGAGCUGAGGCUUCACUUUGCUGGGGUUACUCAGCUCCAUUAUCCACUCCAGGAGUUAUCCGCUCCAGGACUUGUUCUUUUUUUUUUUUUAAUAUAUUUUAUUUGAUCAUUUCCAAGCAUUAUUCGUUAAAGACAUAGAUCAUUUUCUUUUCCUCCCCACCCCCCAUAGCCGACGCGUAAGUCCACUGGGCAUUAGAUGUUUUCUUGAUUUGAACCCAUUGCUUUGUUGAUAGUAUUUGCAUUAGAGUGUUCAUUUAGAGUCUAUCCUCUGUCAUGUCCCCUCAACCUCUGUAUUCAGGCAGUUGCUUUUUCUCGGUGUUUCCACUCCCAUAGUUUGUUCUUUGCUUAUGAAUGGUGUUUUUUUCUCCUGGAUCCCUGCAAAUUGUUCAGGGACAUUACACCGCCACUAAUGGAGAAGUCCAUUACGUUCGAUUAUACCACAGUGUAUUAGUCUCUGUGUACAAUGUUCUCCUGGUUCUGCUCCUCUCGCUCUGCAUCACUCCAGGACUCGUUCUUAACCCCUCCAGAGCCAGCGCCUGGGUGCUCUCUCUGGGUCUCUGUUUGAGUCCAGUCUCCAGGCAACAGGGUAAAUCCAUCACCCCUCAUAGAGGGAGGGCUGCUGAUAGGUUACUAAUAUUAGUGCAAUGUGUGGGCAGCAGGGUCCCCGUUCUUUUCGAAAUCUUGCUGUAAAGUAGCGCAAUUUCUCAGCGGCUAAAGCCAUCGGAAAUAUGUAUUUUCCGAUGGCUUUAGGCGACCCCUGUGUUUUGGUCAUUUGACCCCCCGCCAGGGUCAUGACCCACAGGUUGAGAACCACUGAUAUAGAGUAAAAGAAUAAUUCUUUUUUUUUGAGAGCUGGGGGAAAUGGUUAGAAAUUCACCAUAACCUUAAGAAGCCUUCAUAAAUUUCUCCUACUCAUCAAAGAACUUUUGAAUAAAAGUUGAAUCCCUGGGGACUGCAGAAAACUGCAAGGUUUCUCUAGUCAUAAUGAACCUCAUUAAUGGGUUAUUAAUUUAUAAGUCUGUAAUUCUUCCUGGAAUAUUUUUGAAUUUCUGUUUUGAAAACCUCAGGAUCAAAUUAUAAAGGUUGAGUGCUAGAAGGUAUGAGUAGUAUUGAAAUUGCCCUCAGAAGGGUUAAAAUUCUGGGCUGGGUGUGGAGUUAUAGAAGUAGAAAGGAAAAUUUGAGAAGUAUAGAAAUUGCUUCAGGGAGGGCAGCUAGAUAGCACAGUGGAUUGCGUGCCAGGCCUGAUGUUGAAAGGACAUUAGUUGAAAGACUAAUAAAACAUAAGUUGAAAGAACUUAGUUCAAGUUUGGCUUCGGGCCCUUCCUAGCUGUGUGAUCCUGGGCAAGUCACUUAACCCUAGUUGCCUGGCCCAUGUCACUCUUCUGUCUCAGAAUUGAUACUAAGACAGAAGAGGGAAAAAGGGGAAACAUGUUAUUUCAAGCCCUAGACAGAGGUGGGGGGACCCAAAAGAGGAAAAUGUAGAGGUUAGAGAGAAGGGAAUUGAGGAAGUAGAAGCUACAAAGAACCAGUAUUCCUUAUACUCAGCAGGGUAUUCUUAAUGACCUGGGGAGGUAUCUCAGAGUAGGAGAGUUAAACUAGCAGCAAUGUGAAAUGACUGCAUGAUUUUCAUGGAGUCAGCCAGAGGUAGGUACAUGUGGAUUGAGUUACUCAGCCUAGCAUUUCUUCCAACUUAUCUUUGGAUUUAUAUUUCUCUGGAGGAUUAGAAAUGAAGGCCUGUGAACAACCUGUGGGAAUAAUCAAUUUCCCUUUUACAUCUUUCAGUUGUGAUAUGUUUUCCUUGUGAGUAUUUGUGGCUCUAGGCCAUGGACUUAGUUUUGUAUUUAGAAGCUUCUGAAAUACCAUUUUAAAAAGUCAUCUCAUUGACUUUGACCUGAUUUAGAUCCAAGGAAUUGGAAAGGUUUGCAUAAAUAUGCCAAAUGAUCAAGAUCAAACGAUCCUUCCUCAAAGAACUGCUUUUAAGUUUCACCUCUGAUAUAAUAGUUCCACUUGUCCUGAAACUAAUUUGUUUGGAGAGAAUAAUAUUUAUAUAUAGAACUUUCUGGAAGUUUCUUAGAGAGAACUAGAACUGGCUUAUACUGACUCUAUCCUAUCUCAAUGACAUAGGCAGAUGAGAAAGGUUUACUGAAGGUGUCUACUGUUACUCCUUUCCCAGAUAACAAGCUGCCUCACACAGGAGAGGUUUGACCCAUGGGAAAUUCCCUCUAAUAUGGCUCUUUGCCCAGAGGGGGAAAAAACCUUAUGCUGACUGGAGUCUCUCUGUGUGUAUGCCACCUCAUAGAAGAGAGUGCAAGGGAAAUGUUUGCCAAAGUGAGUCAUCCUCCAGAAAGCCUUUGCCAAAAUACAUUGUUGCCAUAGUGACUAUUAGCUCAUAAAUCAAAGAUGCACUGGGGGACAUCUAUUGAAUAUAACAUGUAAAUCUAUAACAUUUCACCAACUAUGACUUCAACUCCUGAUUGUGACACUAUUAAAAGUUUUACAGUCUGGCUAGUUGACAAAGGCUCUGAGUUAUAACGUGUAGAAGUCCUUCCAAGCGCUUUACUGUGUAAUUAGAAUCUGCUUCCCAGGACUCCCAAUUCUCAGCAUCCCACUUUCCUUCUCACAUGACAUGCUGCUAUAGGGAGGAUAUAAGUUUUGUGUAGUCCCACCUCCCACUCUCUCUUCCUGUAAUCAUGGCUGCUGAAGUGGACUUUUUGGAGAGGCAGGAGAAAUUACUCAUGUGAAUUUACUUUUUGUUAGAUAAUUAGGUUUGAACUAAUAUUUCUUUUAGUUUAUUUUCUUUCUACUUCAAGUAAUUAUUAAUAAACUUUAUAAAUAUAAUACUUGGAGUUAUUAAUAUUAAUCGAAAUCUUACAUUAUGGUGACCAGAAGUCUGGAGUUUAGAACCUUACCUCCACUCUAAGUUUUGGAGCAGUUUUUAAAGACAGAUUAGUUUUAAAAGCCUCUGCCACUCUGCUGCUGCUGCUGCGCGUCAGUGGCUGCCUCCCACAUUUGACCAGAUACUGCUUAAGGGUCCUUGCCAUGCCUACCACCACUUCUCUUGAGCUCACUGGUUGGAGGUCUGUGUGAGCUGUUUUUUGUGUGGAGGGUGAGAUAUAAAUCCCUCUUUCCCUUGCAUUGAUAACUCCUGAGUGUUUGCUGCUACCUUGGAAGCCCAGGUGUUUCUUUUAGGCAACAAUUAACCCCCUAAAGGCUUUUAUAUGAGGAGACACUUCCAUCCUCUUAACACCUUGCCCAUGUGGCAGUGGAAGCAAGCAACUUCUUGGUGUUUUUACCUCUGGGGGGAGGGGAAGGAAGGUUAUGCUUCCAAACAUUUUAACUUUACUCCUAGCCAGUGCAUAAUAGGCUAGGGCCACCUACAGACAGGAAGUAAAUUUGCAACCAAUUUAAUAAGUAGAAUUGCAAGCAUGGCCCACUCUAUGGAAGAGCAGUACAUUACCAAAGUUUUAGGAUGUCUUUUCUUCCUACCAUUCCUAGGUGCACUUGUCCUUGCAAUAGCUUGAGUAAUCCUGAGAUUCAGGGGAGAGAUUCAUCUCCCUACACCCCUUUGCCAUUUUGGCCUGCUCUGUCUCUGCAACACAUCCAAUAUAGGGUUUGUCCACAUUAUGCCUAGUGAGAGUAUGGGAACUCCAGGAGUGUGACCAAAGGAAUCUAGAUGGAUGAUGAUUCUGGGAAGGGGAUGGAACCUUAAAGAGUCUGUAAAUAAAUUUUUGACUCCAUUGCUAACUGUUUCAGUUUGUUCCCUUCAAAUAGUGAAGAAGUCUCUGUAACACAGAUAUUGGAAUUGGAGAAAAGGACUCUUGAAUUCAGUGCCUGUAUCCUAUCACAUAUAUUGUACUUGAUGAUUGUUUGUUUUAAGAUUUAAUUUUGUUUUUUAAGUUCACAUAUUGAUCUAAUCUAUACUAUUCUGUUACACUAUGUCACUUUAAGUCACUGCAUUUUGACUAUUAAUUAUAUGUUCUGUUACAUUGUUUUUAUUUGUACCAUUCUGCUAUCUUUAUUUGUACUGUCCUAUACCUGGACUGGAGAUAAUACCAUUGUAAAAGUCCAUGGUCAAGUUGGGCAAACCCUUUCCAUGGCUUGGCCAUAAGUUCUUAUGGAUACUGAGUUUGUCACCAGAUCCAUCAAGGUCACAUAUUGCCUAUUCAUCCUAUUGUGCCUUUUUGCCUUUGUUAAUUGUCACAUAGAUGAUGAUGAAUGAACUCCAUCAAAUUGGUUACAACCUGUAUACAACCUUUGGAGAAUUUAAUGACCUACAAAUUUAAACUGAUUUUAAGAGGUCUUCAUAAAUGAUUUUUAGAUAUCUAGUAGCACCACUACCUCUGACUGAUCAUUUGCCCACUUUUGAGUUGUUUGUAAUAAGAAGUUAAGGGUCCAUUUAGUAGUUGAAGUGAAGUGCAAUAGCACUGUUGUAUUCCCCACCUCCACAUUCAUAAAAAUGUAAUAGAUGAGACAUAUAAAGACAUGCCUUUUGCAGCUGUUACAGUCUCAUCUGGGAGGUGGAAAUGUUUUCAUAGUGGGUGUGGUACCUCUAAAUGACUCCCAAGAGAAUUUCUAAUGGAGCCUAGUGGCUUCUGGAUGGUUUUUAUGUUUGUAACUCUUCAGAUUACUCCACCCUUCCACCAGAAUGAUUUAGAUUCUUGGUGAUGUUUUAGACCCAUAGACCAAAGUUUUCAUCAGCAGUACAGAGGUUUUUCUAGGCUCUCCUGCCAUAUUUUGGAAUGAUGGAAGUAACAGACUUUGUUAAAAUGUCUCAGCCAAGGUUGAUAGAUUGGCUAGAUCUGGAGAACUUGUGACAAGUAUCCAUGAGCUUCAAUGGCAUAAGAGAGAAUGAAAGAAAGCAGGGCUUUUGCAAAAGAGGCUAAGCAAGGGUUUGCAAAAGAAGGUCUGGUCACACGCACAGAACUGAAAGAGCUAUUCUAGAAUCUGGGGAAGUCUUAAAACUGGACAUCUGAGGCAGUUGGAGAUCCAUUGUUCCUGUCCUUCCAGGGAAGCAGAGAGGUAACUUCCUGUUGGGUGGUUCUGUCUAAGCUUGAGGGAGGUGACUUACCUAUUCCCUGAGAGCCAGAGGUUCCUGUGUCCAGCUAUCCAGAGAUUCCUGAUAUCCUUUCCAUCUCUAUCUCCAAUUUCCAUCUCCCUGUGUUCCUGUAAGCUCCUGUGUCCCUGAGAGUUUCCUAAAUGCUAUGUGAGAGAGAACUGCCAGUACCAAGUGAAACCUGUCAGUGAGAACAGCCCAAUUAUCUUGGCCUUUGGCCUUUGGCCUACAAGGUGAACUCUACAAGAGUUCAAGUUCUCUUAUCUUGACAAACUUUUAAACUUGUCUAUCAGUAUCUGAGGACCAGUUAGCUCAGAUUAGAUAGGUAGUGGGGUUUUUAUAGAGAGCCAGUAUAGAGAAAGUAUAAACAAAAGAUCUAUGAAGAUGGCUCUGUGAGGAGCCCUUAAAGGCAUUUGGGUGAAGAAUCUAGAUUUUUAACCUUAGUAACUCCUUUUCCCUAGUCCUCCUCCUUCCUCUUUUACUUGGAUAUAAAUAAACCCAAGUUACUGUUUUUUCCAAGUUGUCAAAGAGUCAGAUAGCAUUUUGGCCUACAAGUUGACUCUUAGGCCUACACAGGCCUGUAGAGCCUAUUCUCUGAGUGGUAUACCAGCAACAAGUCUAAAAACCCUUCCAUCUAUUUUAUCAACAUUUAUUUCAGUGGCUAUAGAGAUGCAUGUGAAUCCCAGUGAUGGCAGUUUGGUUUGCUGUUGUCAUUAAAUGGACUCUUAAGAUUUUGAGGAUUUUGGUACUUCUUGAAUGUACUUUAGCUGUACUACUGUUUUAUAAAGCUGCUACUUGGUAUAAACCAUUUUCAUUCACACUGUGGACCAUGGCCAAGUUUAAAAGGAAUGGAGGGGGCAGCUGGGUGGUUCAGUGAAUUGAGAGCUAGGCCCAGAGAUGGGAGGUCUCAUUUGGCCUCAGACACUUCCUAGCUAUGUGACCCUGAGCAAGUCACUUAACCCCCAUUGCCUAGCCCUCACCACUCUUCUACCUUAGAACCAAUACACAGUAUUGAUUCUAAGAUGGAAGGUAAGGGUUUAAAAAAAAAAGGAAAUGGAUCUCAUUUUGGGGUGAGAAACCUUUGUAUUGAGUCUCUCCUUGGCAAACACAGUGUGUCACUGAUUGUGAACUGUAUAUUUUUUAUUUUGAAAACAUUUUUUAUUGUUUUUCCUUGUAUAUGCACGAGUAUUUGAGUUUUUUCUCUUAUUUUUUGUACUUGAAGCACAUGUUAAAAGUAUUAAUAGUUUUUUGAUUUUGCACUAAUAUAAAUUUACAAUAUCCAUUAGCCCUAAUAUUAAUCCAUACCCAAAAGCUUUAUACUAUGGAAACCUACCAUUGAUUGUUAAAUAUUAUGGGACUUUGAUUAAUGAUUGUGUCUGAUUUCAGGAGAAAGGAUUACAUAAGAUCCAUUAUAUGGUGCCAAGAAGCACAAGGUCAAGGAGACCAACCAAUCCCAAUGGGAUUGAUGAGAAUCUGUGCCAAGAUAGGAUUUGUUUUGAUAUUUGAGGAAGCAGCUAUUUGACAACAUCACACGCAGGAUUUCUUUGUGCCAGGUUAAAACAAAGUACCUCAAUUUGGCUACAAUUUUGGCUCUCCUAUUCCUGUAAGUGAAGCUAAAUUUUGGAGUCAUUGCAUGCUUGCAAAAGGCAUCCUUCCCGAACCCAAAAGGGUAUCCUUCCAUGCCCAUAACAUUUUUGACACCCAACGUGUUUGGCUCUCCUGAAAGCUACGCCUGUACCCCGGAUCGUCCAUGAGGACACGGCUUCUCAGGGGCUGAAUCUCCUUUUGUGACCUGUCUGCCCAUCAGGGGAAGCAGUCGCUGGACAUCCCUCACAUCUCCAAGCAGGUUUCCAGCUACCUAGGACACAGGCAUUCACUGAGGACAUGUCCCCAAGACCCUGUGCCCACAGCCUUUCCUCCCCUGUUAUCUUCAACCCCUUUUACUUUAGCUCCUAACUACCUGACCAUAACUAUUUCUUUCCUUAAAUCUUGGGUCUUCUAUGUUUUAAAUCAUGCAUACCCAGCCAGCUGGACAUAUAAUUCUCUGAUUCAUCUCUCGAGUUGCUUCUAGGGUAAAAGCACUCAUGGGAGUCACCCAGAUGCCAGAUGCCACCAUAACCUUGGCAAACAUCCCAGCCUGAUGCUCUGGACAUGGCCUACAGUCAAUACCUCUCUCUCCUAAUGUUAGGCAGGGAGAUCUACGCCCAUCCUCAGCUCUGAAGAAGUUACAGAAGACAGAUCGCCAUCCUGUUUUCCCUUACAUAUUAGGAAAGGGGGGAGAUGACAUGGGCACCUGUACCCCAGAAACCCAGGCGAACUAUUGUCAAGGGAACUCCCUUGUUUUUUUCUGACUCUGAGACUAAAAACACCCAAUAACCCCACCUAGGGUCCUGAGAUGACUAUCUUCCUUUGAUCGUCCUCUAGAUGGUCUGAAAGAUGCACCCUCAGACCACACCUCGAUCCUAUCAGACAUCUGUUUGUCCCCUAAAACUAAGGAAUCUUUAUGUCCCCAGGCAGACCCCAAUAUGAUCACCCCACCUCAUGCCUGAGUGACUGUUGUGAAGAAUGUAUAAAAUCCCCAGAACUGAUGUCCUCUGGGGGACAGCCUCUCUAUCCAUGCUGUCCCCAUGGAGGAACAGCUUUUCCUUUCAAGCUGUCCUCCCAAGGAACUGUUCCUCAUCUUGCUGUUCUACCUUGCUAUCCUCCUGGCCACUCUCAACAUUACUUUCUAAAUUAAUAAAUCUCUUUUGUUUUUAAGCUAAAUUUUGGAGUCUUGCAUGCUUGCAAAAGGCAUCCUUCCCGAACCCAAAAGGGUAUCCUUCCAUGCCCAUAACACAACUAAUGCCCUUAGAAUACCAGAGGUGCUUCCCUCUCCUUCAUGAGCAAUCCUACAGUUUGGAGUACCUUUACUUCAAGAAGCUGUAUGGGAGCUAUGGCUCUAGGAUAAACAAGCAGCCCUGCACUAUGAAUGUGCAAGAUUCCUCCAGAAUUGGGCCUUCUGAUGUGAGAGUUGCAGUGGAGGGGACUUUGUUCCCUUGCACCACUUUGCCAUUGGCCCUAUCCAAAGCUCCUUUGCAGCAUCCUGGUUUUGCAGGGUCCAAAAUGACAGAUUCAGUUCACAGAGAUGAUUCUGACCAAGUUGCAAAAGCCCUCUGCCCAAGGUAAUCAUGGGCUGACAAAAAGAGCACUUAGUGGUAACAUAUCCCCGAAACCUUGUGGUCAUCAUAUUUAUGCUCCUUUUCUUCAAAAGAUUGUAAUCAAAUAAUGAGGGAAGAGAAAAAGGAUGGAAUGGAAAUAUUUGCGUAUUAUUGAUGUUACAUUAUCGAUGUUACAUAAAUCUACAUUUGUAGAUUUAGUUUGUAGAUAUCAAGGUUAAAUGGUUACUUGAUACACCUAAUAAGGAAUAGGGCCAGCAGGCCCUUCUAGGCUCAGAAUGCUAUCUGACUAUAAGACAAAGGUUUAGAAACAUUAAUGAUAGGGUUUAUUUUUAUUCAAAUGAAGGAGGACGAAGGAUUAGGAACAAAAGAAUCCCUAACUAUGAAUUUUGGAUAUUCCUCCCCCCUUUUCUAUGGGUUCUUCAAAGAAUUGUUUUCAAAGUCUUCUGGCUGCCUAUGUCUACACUCUUUGUUUAUAAAACCCAUAUAUAGCUACAUGAUCUACCUAGUCCUCACAAUAAUGUUUGGAUAAGUUUAUAGUUCAUCAGGGUAGUAGCUUUGAACUCUUGAUGAGUUCAACCCUCUUCAGCCUGGGCCCAAGAUGGCUUCAGUCCUUUCCCACAGACAGGUUUACUGACUUGCUGGCAGUUCUCUUCACAGACGUCAGGAAACACAUUUAGAACUCAGGUCCACAGUUGGAUGAUAAAUUAGGAGAUAAAGUUGAUAGGCUCUCACACCAGGAUACUAGGACAGCAGGAAUGGUAGCUUCAGCUCUACCAGUGUAAGAGAGAGAAAAUGAGAUCCAGCAAUGCAAAGGAACAGCUCAAACGGGGGAAGGACAAGAAGACUCAAGAUUUCAGAAAGGAACAGAGGAGCUGGGGGAAGUUGAAACUGCCAGAUUACUUCUUGUCAGCUCUCUUGGAAUCUUCUGGGUCUGAGAAGAGGACCUCAGAGACCCCUCUGAACAUUGACUACCUUCCAGUGAACCCUUAAAUCUCUCUGGUUCCAGCUGAAGACAAAAAAUAUAGACUGGGACUUUAUAGAAAGCCAUCUACUAAGAAGAUUUCUCUCUAUUCCCAAAAUUGUCCUGGACUUCAACUCUUAGCCAGAUUAUCUUAGGAGAAAGAACAAACGCAACAACUGACCAAAAGGAGGGCCAGGCAGGUCCCACAUUCCUCACCCAACAUCGGCAUUCUCUCUGCCUUGUGAGCCCCAAGAAUAAAGUGUUAUCCCUUUAGACCAGAUCUGCCUACUUUCUAACAUCAAGGAAGGGGGUUGAAGAUUUGGGAGAGUCAUACCUUUCCCCCCAAGGAAGAGAGCUAGCUCUGGCUGAGGAAUAAUUCAGGUCUCAAAAGGGAAGAGUGGCAGUUGGGAUAUUGGGAGAAUCCAGAGGCAGACAGCCAAGAUCAAAAAGAGAGGCAGCGGGUCAUUUCUCCAGGACCUUCUCCUCCAGUCAUUAACCUCCAUAUCCCAAACCUGAUAUCCGAGGAGACAUGUUCUGCCCCUCUGGAAGACAAUUUGUGCUCUCCUUCCCAAGGGGAAGAGAGGGGAGGAUCAAUCUCUCUCCGCUCUCCAUUUCUUUAGCUCUGUCACACCCCUCUCUCUCAUUCCCCAGUGUGAGUGUAUGUGACCUCCUUCUGCUAAUAUAUUACACCAGGAACAGGUAGCCAAACUCCCACUUGGCUCAGACAGGAAGAAGCCACAGGAAGUUGCCCCUCCAAACUCUCCCAAGGACAGGAACCAAUGGCCCUCAACUGUCUCAGUGUGUCUUUUAUAUCUUCCUUACACUUUAGAAUAAGGUCCUCACAGUUCCAUGGCAUGCAGCAAGUCCUCUUUGCAAACUCUCUUGUCUACUCUCUGUUUGCAAAGCUUUUCUUUUCUUUUCCUCAUUACAAGACCAAGUACAAGUUAGAAAAAUAAUUUUUUCCUCUAGUAAUAAACAAGCAUUAUAAGAAAGUAGGAAUUGUGGAAUAAAUUAUUGGAUGAGUAAAAGGCUAAAAUGAGAGGAAACCAACAGCCAUGAUGGGAAACCCUGCUUUCUGAUUUAAUAUCACAGAAAGAUUUUUAAUGUCUUUUUAUUGGCAGGUUCCCUUCCUCUGCCCCUAAUCUAGUAUCCUGACUUCUGCUAUGGGUACUGCUAAGUCAUAUCUCCAUUUCUAUUUUAGAUUGGUCAGUUGUGUACUUAAAUGAUGCUGGAGAAAUAAUGAAAACCUUCCCAGUGAGAAUCUAUUCAUUAAAAACUUCCCAGGUCCCAGGCCAAGGUAUUUUCCUUAUGCUUCCCAUGUUAAAGAGGCAGAAUGACAGUCCAAGUGGAAAUUAGUACAUCGAUUUGAUUGAACACUCAUUCCAUGUAAUACCAUGUUGAAUGUGAGGUAUCAAGAUAGGAAACUAGUCUUAUCUUGCAGGUGCUUUCAGGGGUUUCAGAUAAAUACAUAAAAAUACAAAUUACAGAGAUAUAAUCUCUAAAUACUAGUUACUUCACUAAAACUCUCAAGCAGAAGAUUCUUUGCAUAUUUCCUUUCCCCUAAGUGUAUUCUCAUGUUCAUAGAUCAUUAGCUUCUUGGUAAGUAGGGGAAAAUAGAAAAACAUAUACAAGGCUUUUUUUAAAAAAUUGGAUUGAAUUAUAAGCCAUUCACCAUUGAAGAACAAGCAUAAAUUAAGUUAGAGUAGGUCUGAAUUGUCUGUGAAAAUGAGAUUUGAUUUAUAAAAAUUCUGUUUAUUCAUAGGAAAAUAAAGCAAAGUCUACAUGAAUAACUUUAGAAAGAAGUAAUUUAGGCUAUGGGGAGGAUAAAAGAGAAGGAAAUAUUCUAGUUAUCUGAGGAAUUCCUGUAGCUUCCAUGGAGCUUAUGUAGGUUUUCACAUAGAAUCAUAGAUAAUCCAGGUUGACCUGAUCUUCCUGAUGUCAUCUUAUCACUGCCCCUCUCUUCCCCUCCCUGUGAGGUUAAGAGUGGGUAAGAAGUUUCUCACUAACAACAUUACCUUCAUAUU